CGCUCACUCGGGGGCGGGGCCAGGCGCGGGGUGCGGUACUCGUCAUAGUGGGGUGGUGCCGGGAUGGGUCGGGGAUGUUGAGGGCUGCCCCGUCCUGGGGCUGCGGGGACCUUCAGCGGUCUGGGACCCCUCAGCGGUCUGUGAGCCCUCAGGGUUCUCUGGCCCCUCAGGGUUCUGUGUCCCCUCAGCGAUCUGUGGCCCUUCCGCGGUCUGUGACCCCUCAGCGGUCUGUGGCCCCUCAGGGUUCUGUAGCUCCUCAGCGAUCUGUGACCCCUCAGGGUUCUGUGGCCCCUCAGCGGUCUGUGACCCCUCAGGGUUCUCUGACCCCUCAGCGGUCUGUGGCCCCUCAGGGUUCUGUGGCCCUUCCGCGGUCUGUGGCCCCUCAGGGUUCUGUGGCCCCUCAGCGGUCUGUGGCCCCUCAGGGUUCUCUGGCCCCUCAGCGGUCUGUGGCCCCUCAGGGUUCUCUGGCCCCUCAGCGGUCUGUGGCCCCUCAGGGUUCUGUGGCCCCUCAGGGGUCUCUGGCCCCUCAGCGGUCUGUGACCCCUCAGGGUUCUGUGGCCCUCAGCGAUCUGUGACCCCCUCAUGGGGGUUCCCUCGGUUCCAGCCGCUGUGAGGCGGCGGGACCUGCCGGGCCAGGAGGGUCCAGCCCGGCGCCCUCGGGGUGCUGGGACAGCGGGGACGGCGCUCGUCAGGGCGGCCGCGCUGCUGGGAGACAACAGCAUUACAGAAAUCACAGGAAUCACGAAAUCAAUUAGGUCGGAAAAUACCUCUGAGGUCCCCCUGGGAAGUGUCUGCAGCCUUCCGGCAGCAGAAUACACUAAAUCUAACCAUAGCUGGCAAACAGUUGGGCUCCGAUGCUUUUCUUUCAGUUUUCUUCCAGGGGGAGUUUGAAGUUAACGUGGUGGAUGUAAGUUUUUCACCGGGUCAGGUGGAACUGGGGCUUGCUGGCAUCGCUUCUGCAGGAUUUUCUCCCUGAAAUGGCCAGCAAGGAAGGAUUUUUCAACACUUGGCCGUUUCUGUGCCGUUCUCUCUCCCUCAGCAGAUGGCAGCAAUGGCCUUGGUGUCAGGGACCCAUCACCGCACACGCAGUGUCAUUUAACAGAUUCACUCUUCCAGAUCGAUUCUUUACUAAAAAAUUCAAUCAAAUGAUAAUUACUUUGGAUCCUGUUAAUUAUUUCUAAAAACAUGCAAAGAUGAUCCAGAAUAGUUAUAUUUAUUUGAUGAGAAAGCCUGAAAUGAUGCACAGAAUAAUUGAAUAUUUAUAUAUUGCAAAUUAAGCUACACUUUACAAUUUACAAUGAAUUGAAUAUUUAAAUAUUCCAAACUGAACUACACUUUACAGUGAGUACAAGCCUGGCUGCAAAAUAGGCUGAUUUGUUUUCAUUUGUAAGCAAUUUGCUGAAUUCAGACAGGGAUGCAGUUCUAUGCUUCAACUAAAACGUUUUUGCUUUGGGAAAGGUGAUCUCAUUCCUUCACUUCUAUUCCUGCUUCCUCAUCCCUCUCUCCUUUCUUCCCUCCCUGCUCCUCCAGCCCCUCACUGGCUGUGCAGCCUUUUCUUGUCACUGCUUGUGCCACCACCAUCGGGCACUGGAUUGCAAAGCAAACUGAUGCAGCUCCAAACCCCAUAAAAACAGGGGUUUUUUUUUGUUGUUGUUGUUGGUGUUUUUUUGUUUGUUUGUUUGUUUGUUUGUUUUGUUAAGUUUUCAGCUUUUCUAAUGAGUUAACACGCUGUGCUGGGUGCCCUGUGAGCAUCAGGGAGCGCUUUUGAGAAAGGAGCAUGCACAGGCAGAAGGAAAGGAGGAGGCUGGGAAGAUGGGGUGGGGAAUUGUCCUCUCCAUUUCUGUGACAGAAAGCUCUUAUCUUGUCUCAAAUCAUCUUGUUACAUCAUACUCUGAAAGACAGGCAAAGAAUAAAAAUCAUCGCCUCCAGAGGGCUGCUUCUCAGAAGACCCAUGGAUGACCCUUUCCAGCCCACGAGGAGCUGCUGACACUUCUCCUUACAGUGCUUCUAAAUGAGAAAUUAAGAAUGAUGGGGAAUGUCAAGUGUAGCACUCUACAGUUUGCCUUCUGCUCCAGUCCAGCUCUUUUCUGAAAUAAGGGCACUAUCCAGUACAAGCCUGCCACUGGUAAUGAAGCACAAUUCCUACAUCAUCUCUAACUUGUGGGAAUGAACUUGGACACCCCUUCAGCAGAUGGUGAAGCAGUACCAUGAUAUUCUCUGCCUCAAAGACUCAACAUCUUAAUUUACAGCUUUGGUUAAGUUUAUUUUCAUUUUCUUCAUAACUAAUUUUAUACAAAUUGGCAUGUUUCAGUAGCAAGCACUCCAUUUCUGUUAAUUCAGCAGCAGUGUGUACAGUGUGUGCCAUUGCAGUAUGCUGUUAUUUUAGCAGAACUGGAAUCCAAACAUUGUACAAGCACAGUAAACCCCAUUUUCAAGCAUGCUCUUAGAACAGUGCUUCUCUCUUCUGUGCUACAACAGAUUUCUUUCAUUUCUUACUGCUAUUGCAUUCUAAAUAAUAAAUAAAUAAGUAAAUAAA